GUAGGAGCUUGAAGGAGAAGGACGUUACAUCGCUUCGCAUGUUCCUUGUUAGGUCAACUCUUGUCUACUCCACCACCUGCAUAACAUUCCCUAAACCUGGUACAUUGCAUAAAGGAAUCGGCCAACGUAAUGACAGGGACGGAGCGGUGGGACGGAGCGUGCUGGUCCACAGGCCGUUGAGGUUGCGGGAUUGAAGUUCGAGCAAGUUCGAGCAUCGGAGUGGUAAGGGCUGCAAUCAUGGUCCUCCUUGCGAGUGGCAGGUUUACAAGGCUUGUCUCCUAAACCUCCAUGGUUGGCGCGGGUUCUUUCUCCAGCACUCUUGGUGGCAGCCAUGGUGUUGGUCGUGUAUAUUGCAAAGGUCGACAAGGCGACUACUACGUCAUGGUCAUGGAUAUGCUCGGGCCAAGUCUCCGGGAUGUCUGGAACUCUUCGGGGUCAAGCGCAAGUAUUUAGGGCAGCUCGUUCUGAUUGAGCAGGUAUGUACAUGGAGACGUGAAGCUCGAGAACUUUCUCCUGGGACAACCCAAUACACCUGAAGAGAAGA